UACGAAGGGGGCUAGCGUUGCUCGGAAUCACUGGGCGUAAAGGGUGCGUAGGCGGGUCUUUAAGUCAGGGGGGAAAUCCUGGAGCUCAACUCCAGAACUGCCUUUGAUACUGAGGAUCUUGAGUUCGGGAGAGGUGAGUAGAACUGCGAGUGUAGAGGUGAAAUUCGUAGAUAUUCGCAAGAACACCAGUGGCGAAGGCGGCUCACUGGCCCGAUACUGACGCUGAGGCACGAAAGCGUGGGGAGCAAACAGG
rnacentral:rRNA from 1 species